ensembl:lncRNA
CGGCAAAUCCUGCAACCCACGCCCACACGCGAGCACACACAUAUCCAGUAUCCAGCAGCAAACUGUGACACAGCAGCUCGCACACACACGCUAACCCGAUAUUGUCUGUGUUUCACCAGGUGAACCAACAGGGAAAUUUUGGGCGGGAGCAGAAGGAGGACGACCGCCUGAAACACUGCUGGGCCAAGGUGCGACUGAUAGAAAGGAUCGACCAGGACCCUGAACAGAAGCUCCCCUCCUACUUCCUCGUUCAGGGUAGUCUUCUUUACCAACGAGCCUGCCGCUGAGGGGAGCAGGUGGACCUCCUCGUAGUCGCCAAGACCAAAACCCAGACACUGUUGCACCUGGCCCACACCCAUCUGCUCGGUGGCCACUUGGGAGCGCAAAACACCCUGGAAAAGCCAACGGAUCGCUUUGUCUGGCCAGGGAUGGACGCAGAUGUCCGGGGCUUCGGCCAACAAUGCCCCCAGUGCCAGCGCACCGCCCCACAGAGGCCCCCACCGGCUCCCCUUAUCCCUCUGCCCAUCAUAGGUGUCCCCUUCGAGCGGGUUGGCAUGGGCCACUCCCCAAGUCCGCCCGGGGUCACGAGUACAUACUCGUCAUCAUGGAUUACGCCACCUGAUACCCCGAGGCAGUGCCCCUAGGCAAAGCCACCUCCCGUAAUAUUGCGAAAGAGCUGAUGCUCCUCUUGAGCCGUGUGGGGGUACCAAAGGACAUCUUAACCGACCAAGACCGACAGGCUCGUCGAAAGGUUCAAUCAAACCUUGAAGCAGAUGCUACGGAGGGUGGUGAGCUAGACGGGAGAAACUGGGACCUCUUUCUGCCCUACGUCCUCUCCGUUGUCCGGGAGGGCCCCAGGCCUCCACGGGCUUUACCCCCUUCGAACUCCUCUUUGGACGGCGACCUCGAGGACUGCUGGACGUGGCCCGGGAAGCCUGGGAGGAACAGCCCUCCCCAUUCCGCUCAGUCAUUGAAUACGUGCAGGAAAUGCAGGAGAGGAUUAACCGAGUGGCCCCGAUCGUCCAGGAGCAUAUGAGAGCCGCCCAGGAGGAGCAGAAGCGAGUGUACGACCCCCCAGCACAACCCCGGGAGUUCCAACCUGGCGAUCGGGUGCUCCUCUUAGUGCCGAACAGUGCCUGCAAGUUCCUAGCCCGAUGGCAAGGGCCAUACACAGUCCUCGAGAGGAAGAGGGACGUGAACUAUCGUAACAGCCCGGUAAGCGAGCAGACACCCAAACAUACCACAUAAAUCUGUUAAAUAAAUGGGUGGGGCCAGCACCAUUAGUGUCUGCGUUCGCGACCCUAGAGACAGGCCAAGAGGAGGGUACCCUGGUCCAGCUGGGGGAAGACCUCACUCCCGGGCAAAGACA